GAUGAACGCUGGCGGCGUGCCUAAUACAUGCAAGUCGAGCGAACAGACGAGGAGCUUGCUCCUCUGACGUUAGCGGCGGACGGGGGAGUAACACGUGGAUAACCUACCUAUAAGACUGGGAUAACUUCGGGAAACCGGAGCUAAUACCGGAUAAUAUAUUGAACCGCAUGGUUCAAUAGUGAAAGACGGUUUUGCUGUCACUUAUAGAUGGAUCCGCGCCGCAUUAGCUAGUUGGUAAGGUAACGGCUUACCACGGCGACGCUGCGUAGCCGCCCUGAGAGCGUGAUCGCCCACACGGGACCUGAGACACGGUCGAGACUCCUACGGGAGGCGGCAGUAGGGAAUAUUCCGUAAUGGGCGAAAGCCGGACGGAGCAGCGCCGCGUGAGUGAUGAAGGUCUUCGGAUCGUAAAACUCUGUUAUGAGGGAAGAAGAAAUGUGUAAGUAGCUAUGCACGUCUUGAGGGUACCUAAUCAGAAAGGCACGGCUAACGACGUG
rnacentral:rRNA from 1 species